AUUUGUUAUAGGUUUAUUUUACAACAUUUCAAUGUGGUAACAUAGUGCUUAACAACCUUUUUCUGUUAGUUUUUAUUUGGUAUCUUGUAAAGUGAGAAUACAUUUUAUACUUUUGAUGUUUCUGUUUUUUUGCUGUGCGUUGUUCUAAUUUUAAUUGAUAGUCUUUAACACAGUUUUUUGUCCCGUAAAAAAAGGAUAAAUUGUAAGAGUGCUAACAAGGAUUCAAAAGGAGAAAACAAAAUGGGGAAAAUAUCUCCUUGAAAAAACCCAAUAAAUUACGUAAAACAUUAAAGCAGUGUUUAAAGUGAUUUAAAAAUAUUGAUUGAUGCUGCGACACACUCAAGUGCUUAUGCACCAGACGGUAAUGAGCACAGAUACGUACAAAGUGUAAAAAAAAUCAGAAUAUAAGUGGAGCGCAAAAAUAAAACUCUUAUAAAUCCAGUGUAGAUAUAAUUUCCAUGCAGAAAAAAGUGAUAAAAAUGUAUACUUACAAUUAUCAAUUUUUGCUCCGAUAGAAUUCCAUGUAGAGCCACAAAGAAAUGUUAUUAUUCUGAUUUUUUUUAAUCUAUUUUUUUCCCGUUUUUUAUUUUACAGAACCCAUUGAACCCUAUAUGGAAAUUCUCCAGUUUGAACAGGGAUAGAAAGGAGACAUUGCCAUGGCCAGAGUUAAUGAAACACAUACACCUCUAAAAAGGCGGUAACUAAAACAAGCUUAAGCAAACAGGGAGAAGCUGUAGUGAGGGAAUUAAAAAGACAGAGUACAUGUAUGACAAGCCAAUAGAGCAGACACAGUGUAAUCAAGACAAGCUGAGAACAUGAACAAAUAUAAGAUAGAAUAAACAGUAAUAAAAGAUAAGUCAACACAGGAUAAUCACAAAAUAUAGCUAUUGCUCUUAGUAAGGUCAAACCAUUAAAAGGUCUAUGAGGUGUGUGAGGCACAAUUUAAUUAAGGCAGUUGAGGUCAAUGAAUUUUCAACAAUGGAAAAGCUCCAGUUAUGCAAACAUUUAGUAAGUACAAUUACAUUCCCAUUACCCGCUGAUGCUAUCACACAUAUAUUGGUGCAACUGUGGACAUAACAGAUGUGCAGUUCAAGCAGGAGGUAUCUGACACCUUGACUGUAUUGUAAAGAAAAUAAACCUCACCAACAAGUUGGGGUGUGACCUAAAAUAAUUAAUUAAUGGGUAUUUGAUCCCUAAAAUUGCCAAAUGCCUUCCAUGUAUUCAGAAUUACCAUAUGUUUGUUAUAUUAUUUAAUCUUUAUAGGAUGUUCUAGUGUAGCAUGUACAGUAUAUAUCCACUUCCUUCAUUCCUCAAAGUACUGAAUGCUUUUCACAUUGAAUAGUCUGCAACAUCCCACCACACAUGACAUAUAAAACAUAGAUCAUGUUCUGAAAGCAAAUGGUGAUCAUACUCCUAAUUAGCUCUUUAACGUUAAUUUAUAGUACCGUGUUUGAUCCAUCUAUCCAUCUAUCUAUGUCUGUUUAACUCUCUAUAUAGCUACAAUUAAUCAAUUUAUAUAUUGAUCUAUCUAUCUACAA